rnacentral:rRNA from 1 species
UAGAACAAAAGAUUAAACAUUUUAGUUAAUUUAUUAAUUUCUAAAUUAAAAUUAUUUUAAAUGUAAAAAAACAUUUAUUUAAAAGAAAGACGACAAGACCCUAUUGAACUUUACUUUAGUUUAACUGGGGCAGUAAAUUAAUUAUAAUUUUAAUAAAAAUAUUUGAUAAAAAAUCUAAUAUAUUAAUAAACAAGUUACCAUAGGGAUAACAGCGUAAUAAAUUUUAAAAGAUCAUAUUAAAAAAAAAGUUUACGACCUCGAUGUUGAAUUAAUUAUCUAUAAUACGCAAUAGUUUUAAAAGAAAGUCUGUUCGACUUUUAAAAAAUUACAUGAUUUGAGUUCAAACCGGUGUAAGCCAGGUUGGUUUCCAUCUUCUAAAAAAUUAUUCAUAGUACGAAAGGACCAGAAAAAUUAAUAUUAUUAAUAAAUUGGCAGAAAAUGCAUUAGAAUUAGAAUCUAAUUAAACAUAA